rnacentral:rRNA from 1 species
UACGUAGGGGGCAAGCGUUGUCCGGAAUCAUUGGGCGUAAAGCGCGUGUAGGCGGCCCGGUAAGUCCGCUGUGAAAGUCCAGGGCUCAACCCUGGGAUGCCGGUGGAUACUGUCGGGCUCGAGUCCGGAAGAGGCGAGUGGAAUUCCUGGUGUAGCGGUGAAAUGCGCAGAUAUCAGGAGGAACACCGAUGGCGAAGGCGGCUCUCUGGACCACAACUGACGCUGAGGCGCGAAAGCUAGGGGAGCAAACAGG